rnacentral:misc_RNA from 1 species
GAUGAAGAACGCAGCAAAAUGCGAUAAGUAAUGUGAAUUGCAGAAUUCAGUGAAUCAUCGAAUCUUUGAACGCACAUUGCGCCCGCUGGUAUUCCGGCGGGCAUGCCUGUUCGAGCGUCAUUUCAACCCUCAAACCCCCCGGGUUUGGUGUUGGGGAUCGGCUCUGCCUCACGGCGGUGCCGCCCCCGAAAUACAUUGGCGGUCUCGCUGCAGCCUCCAUUGCGUAGUAGCUAACACCUCGCAACUGGAACGCGGCGCGGCCAUGCCGUAAAACCCCAACUUCUGAAUGUUGACCUCGGAUCAGGUAGGAAUACCCGCUGAACUUAAGCAUAUCAAUAAGCGGAGG